GCCUGGGUGGCACAGUUGGUUAAGCAUCCGACUUUGGCUCAGGUCAUGAUCUCACAGUUCGUGAGUUCAAGUCCCACCUUGGGCU
rnacentral:tRNA from 1 species